AAACGUAGGGGGCCAGCGUUGUCCGGAAUUACUGGGCGUAAAGCGCGCGCAGGCGGUCUAGUAAGCAGUGGGUGAAAUUCCAGGGCUCAACCCUGGGGCUGCUCGCUGAACUGCUAGACUAGAGUACGGGAGAGGGCAGUGGAAUUCCUGGUGUAGCGGUGGAAUGCGUAAAUAUCAGGAAGAACACCCGUGGCGAAGGCUGCUGCCUGGAACGUUACUGACGCUGAGGCGCGAAAGCUAGGGGAGCGAACGGGAUUAGAUACCCCAGUAGUCC
rnacentral:rRNA from 1 species